UCUACAGCCAGCUGGUUCACUGGUGGACUGAACUGUGGGUCCUCACCAGCACAGUGAGCAACAGAGCUUGGACCUUCGGAUCAGUCAGAACCUCUUCAUCCAGCAGAACGUUGGACUCCGAUACUGACACCUUACGGAGUGCCACUCCAGAGGACGCCGGAUCUCCAUGAACACUUGCUCUGGACUCUGUUGGAGAAAACAUUACAUUUGUUGACAAACAUCUGACCACAACCUCUCCUUAGUAACGAUGGUGGAGGACCCAGAGGCAUGUCCAUGCACCUGUUCUCUGAAGGAACCACAGGCAGAUUGGCCAUGACCAACAGCUGAACACAUGGCUGAACAGAGACUCGUGUGGACUCUACCUUGUCAUUGAAGACACGCAUUGUGUCGAGCGUGUGGAGGUUCUGCUCCAAAAGAGCUGUUCCUGCAGAGUACAGGCUGACUUCAUCCAGCUGCAGCACAGCAACAGCAACCCAGAACAAAGCUUUGUGCAUGGGGGAGUCCUGCAACCACACACAAUGACUCCUCACUACCACACAGCGUACGUAAGACAGCUCUCCAGACCCUGUGAUGGAAGGAAGAGAAAAAGGAAACGUGAACAAAAGAACUGGAGGACAGGAAAACACCACCUGUAACCAUCUUUAAUAACAAGUUGCUGAAAAAGGUGAGUGUGUGUGUGUGUGUGUGU